UACGUAGGGUGCAAGCGUUUGUCCGGAAUUAUUGGGCGUAAAGAGCGCGCAGGCGGUCGUUCAAGUCGCGUGUGAAAGCCCCCGGCUCAACUGGGGAGGGUCAUUCGAUACUGAUCGACUCGAAGGCAGGAGAGGGUAGUGGAAUUCCCGGUGUAGUGGUGAAAUUCGUAGAUAUCGGGAGGAACACCGGUGGCGAAGGCGGCGACCUGGGGUCGACACUGACGCUGAGGCGCGAAAGCGUGGGGAGCAAACAGG
rnacentral:rRNA from 1 species